CUGAUCGUGAGGAACACAACGACUUAGAGAUAAGGAAAGCUACCAAGAGUAGGAUGGCAGGACUUUGUAAACCCUAGGGCCUCGACCUGUAUAUAAAGGUGAGUCCGAGGGAAAUGUCGGUCGAGUUAGAGAGAACCGAGAGCUAGGUCAGGCGAGUUACGCCCUCCUUGUAAUCGAAACCACCAUUAAUCCACACAAAGCAGGAAGUAGGCUUUUAC
rnacentral:lncRNA from 1 species